CACGUAGUUAGCCGGGGCUUCUUAGUCAGGUACCGUCAUUUCUUCCCUGCUGAUAGAAGUUUACAUACCGAAAUACUUCUUCCUUCACGCGGCGUCGCUGCAUCAGGGUUUCCCCCAUUGUGCAAUAUUCCCCACUGCUGUCUCCCGUAGGAGUUUGGGCCGUGUCUCAGUCCCAAUGUGGCCGGUCACCCUCUCAGGCCGGCUACUGAUCGUCGCCUUGGUGAGCCCUUACCCACAACUGCUAAUCAGACGCGGGUCCAUCUCAUACCACCGGAGUUUUCACACUGGACCAUGCAGUCCCGUGCGCUUAUGCGGUAUUAGCAGUCAUUUCAACUGUAUCCCCUGUAAUGAGCAGGUUACCACGCGUUACUCACCCGUCCGCCACUCACGUCAAA
rnacentral:rRNA from 1 species